AGCGACUGUGCAGGUUACCGCGGCUGCUGGCACGGAGUUAGCCGGUGCUUCUUCUGUGAGUGAUGUCCUUCCUGCCGGCUAUUAACCCGCAGGCCUUCUUCCUCACUGAAAGUGCUUUACAACCCGAAGGCCUUCUUCACACACGCGGCAUGGCUGGAUCAGGGUUGCCCCCAUUGUCCAAUAUUCCCCACUGCUGCCUCCCGUAGGAGUCUGGGCCGUGUCUCAGUCCCAGUGUGGCUGAUCAUCCUCUCAGACCAGCUACGGAUCGUCGCCUUGGUGAGCCGUUACCUCACCAACCAGCUAAUCCGACAUAGGCUCAUCCGAUAGCGCGAGGCCCGAAGGUCCCCCGCUUUCCCCCGUAGGGCGUAUGCGGUAUUAGCCUGGGUUUCCCCCAGGUUAUCCCCCACUACCGGGCAGAUUCCUAUGCAUUACUCACCCGUCCGCCGCUCGCCACCAGGGAGCAAGCUCCCCGUGCUGCCGCUCGACUUGCAUGUGUUAGGCCUGCCGCCAGCGUUCAAU
rnacentral:rRNA from 1 species